UAGACCGCCUGGGGAGUACGGCCGCAAGGUUAAAACUCAAAUGAAUUGACGGGGGCCCGCACAAGCGGUGGAGCAUGUGGUUUAAUUCGAUGCAACGCGAAGAACCUUACCUGGUCUUGACAUCCACAGAAGAAUCCAGAGAUGGAUUUGUGCCUUCGGGAACUGUGAGACAGGUGCUGCAUGGCUGUCGUCAGCUCGUGUUGUGAAAUGUUGGGUUAAGUCCCGCAACGAGCGCAACCCUUAUCCUUUGUUGCCAGCGGUUAGGUCGGGAACUCAAAGGAGACUGCCAGUGAUAAACUGGAGGAAGGUGGGGAUGACGUCAAGUCAUCAUGGCCCUUACGACCAGGGCUACACACGUGCUACAAUGGCGCAUACAAAGAGAAGCGACCUCGCGAGAGCAAGCGGACCUCAUAAAGUGCGUCGUAGUCCGGAUUGGAGUCUGCAACUCGACUCCAUGAAGUCGGAAUCGCUAGUAAUCGUGGAUCAGAAUGCCACGGUGAAUACGUUCCCGGGCCUUGUACACACCGCCCGUCACACCAUGGGAGUGGGUUGCAAAAGAAGUAGGUAGCUUAACCUUCGGGAGGGCGCUUACCACUUUGUGAUUCAUGACUGGGGUGAAGUCGUAACAAGGUAACCGUAGGGGAACCUGCGGUUGGAUCACCUCCUUACCUUAAAGAAGC
rnacentral:rRNA from 1 species